rnacentral:rRNA from 1 species
CACGUAGGGCGCAAGCGUUGUCCGGAAUUAUUGGGCGUAAAGAGCGCGUAGGCGGCCCUGUAAGUCCGCUGUGAAAGUCAAGGGCUCAACCCUUGAAUGCCGGUGGAUACUGCAGGGCUAGAGUCCGGAAGAGGCGAGUGGAAUUCCUGGUGUAGCGGUGAAAUGCGCAGAUAUCAGGAGGAAUACCGGUGGCGAAGGCGGCAUCCUGGACCGGUAUUGACGCUGAGGCGCGAAAGCUAGGGGAGCAAACGGG